rnacentral:rRNA from 1 species
CCCUUAGAUGUUCUGGGCCGCACGCGCGAUACACUGAUUCAUGCAACAAGUUUUGUCCUUGGCUGAUAGGCCUGGGUAAUCUUUGAACGUGAAUCGUGAUGGGGAUAGAUGAUUGCAAUUAUUCAUCUUCAACGAGGAAUUCCUAGUAAACGCAAGUCAUCAGCUUGCAUUGAUUACGUCCCUGCCCUUUGUACACACCGCCCGUCGCACCUACCGAUUGAAUGGUCCGGUGAAAUCUUCGGAUCUGAGAGAUGUCUGAUUAAUUUCGGACGCCUUUUGGAAAAGUUGCUUAAACCUUACCAUUUAGAGGAAGGUGAAGUCGUAACA